ACUGUGGGCCUCUCUGCGCCUUUCGCCAGCGCUGUGGGCCUCUCUGGACCUGCGCUGGCGCUGUGCUCCUUUGCGAGGGCGGAGCUGCGUUCUUCCCAGCACAGACAAGGAAAGCAUCGCCAGGGCGGAGCUGAGUUCUCCUCUGCACAGACUUCAGAGAUACAGCGAAGGCGGAGCAGUGUUCUCCUCAGCACAGACCCAGGCGGGCCGGGGGCACCGCGAGGGCGGAGCCGCGUUCUGCUCAGCACAGACCCGGGGGACACCGCUAAGGCAGAGCAGCCUUCUCCUCAGCACAGACCUUUGGGGCACUGCCUCGCUUUGGGACAACUCGGGACCGCAUAGACGGGAUCAUGGCACAAGUUGCAGUUUCCACCCUGCCAAUGGAAGAUGAGGAGUCCAUGGAAGAUGAGUAGUCCAUUGAAGAUGAGGAGUCUGUUGAAGAUGAUUCCGUGGAGAGCAGGAUGGUGGUAACAUUUCUCAUAUCAGCUCUCGAGUCCACGGACACUUGCUUCCCUUCUUCCUGCCCUCGGACAUGAGACUCCAGGUUCUUACGCCUUUGGACUCUGGGACUUGUACCAGCGGCUUCCCCGAGGCUCUCAGGCCCUCGGCCUCAUACUGAAGACUGCACUGCGGGCUUUCCUGGUUUUGAGGCUUUUGGACUUGGACUGAGCCACUACUAGCUUCUCUCUUUCCCUACCUGGCAGACAGCCUAUUGUGGGACUGCCUUCUAACCGUGUGAACCAAUUCUCUCUCGUAAUCUCCCUUAUACAUAUACGUGUAUCUUGUUGGUUCUGUCCCUCUGGAGAACCCUGACUCAUACAUUUUGUUUAUUUUUUCUCCAUUGCCCUUUCCUCUGCUUCUAGGCUUACCUAGACCACCACCAUUCUUUCCCCCUUUCUAAAGUAAAAGUUGUUUUUUUCUCACUAAAUGCAUGGUAUUCUGCCCGUUUUCCAUGGCUUCCCUCAGCCCUGCUCUGUUUAUUCUUGCUAUCUUAAGAGGAAAUCCCUGCCUCUUCCGUGGCUUUUCCCACUUGGCCUACAUACUGGUUUCUGUUGUUCUCAGAGACACACUGAGACCCUUCACAUCUCACUGUCACUUCUUGGAAGGGCUCUCUACCUCGUCUGCCUGCUGAGCAACCUCUUGGGGAGACGCAGGCCCUCUUGAGUCACUGAACUUGAGCUAUAUGGUGUUGGUAUGUUAAUUUAUCUUCUUAGACCACUUACCACUUCUUUAACUUCAAAAGAGGAGAAUAAGUAUUAUUUUCCAUGGUUGAUAUGAAGAGUAGAAAUAACUUAUACCAAAUGCAUUGCAGUUAAGUGAUAAUAAAUGGCCGUGAAUGCCCUUAUUAAUGUUAUUCUAUCAGUCUCGGCUCAGAUAGCAUCUGCUCUGUAAGCUCUGCUCUGAAUCAUAUCUGCUUCUUCUCUGGGUUCCUUGUGCUCUGUUCUUAACUACUUUAAAGCAGUAAUUGUUCUGAUUCUAAUUAGUGAUCCUUCCCAAUAAAAUUUUAAUUUUGUAGAUCUCUUCCCCCUACCCCUGCCGCAGCCUAACCAGUGUUUUCUUACUUUUUUGUGUACAAGCUACAUCACUGGUCUUUUAUUUGUGGCUAAAUAAAUGUUGUGUUAGAAGAGUAAAGAGUUCCCAGUUACAUGGGAUCUAUAGUUCUACAAAAUGAAUGUAUACAUAAUCCAUGUAAAUAUUUCACUUAUUUUAAAACAAUUUUUUAAUUUUUAAAUUAAAUUUAAUUUGUGCAUGUGUGUGAGACCAGAGUGAGACCAGAGAUUGCGGCGGUGAGGGGCGGUGGUCUCACCAUGUUGCCCAGGCUGGUCUUGAACUCCCCUUCAAGUGCCCCCCUCCUCACCUGGCCCCCCUCACCUUGCCUCCUCCCCCUCACUCCUAUGCCAGCCCCUGCCAUUCCCUACCCCCUCUGUUGACCGCAAGACUCAACAAGUGACUUGCUGAGCAAACCCUGCUGAGAAGAGGUCUGUUUAGGGACACAGGAGGCCAAGUACACAAAAAAGCAAAAGAACUAGCAUGCCUUUUUCAAUGGAUGUCUAUUUUACAGGGCUGGCUUCAGAUUAUUGUUAUAGCUUUAAAUAAAAGGACCGUUUUGUCA